rnacentral:misc_RNA from 1 species
GAAGUGCGAAAAGUGUCAUGACUUGCAGAUUCCCGAGAGCUGACAAAUUUCUGAAUGCAAAUGGCAGUCGGCGCUAGACCCGACUAUGUAUCGUAGAGUGUAGAUGCUCUUGCUCAUCAUCUCCCGUUUCUUUUCCCCACAAAGGAGAAGAAAUUAGCAGGAGGAUCUGCGCUAGCGAGGAUUCUCGCGAGCGUCAAAAGAGAAAGGAUGCGGUGGUGGGUUGACUCUCACGAGCAAUCCCCCAUUUGCAUUGCCGAUGAUCUUUUUGAUCGAGCAAUGCGCGCAAAACCCUUUGAUAUUCAUAUAUCUCUUUUUUCCGAGCCACCUCUACGAUGCAUGAUAACCCGCUGAACUUAA